ensembl:lncRNA
CCCGCCCCCACGGUGAUCCUCCCAUGGCCCCGCCCUGCCCCGGCCACGCUAAUUGGUUUCUUUCUGCGGAGCUUCCUGAGCUCCGAUUGGCUGUACUCGUCGCCUUUCCGCUGUUCGAUUGGUCCGCGGGGCCCGCUUUCUCGAGGACCUGCUCCUCGACGGGGCGGGGCCAGCGGCGGCGCGCGGAGCAGGAUUGGUCAGCGACUCAGAGGGGGCGGGCCCACGCCGCGCGCAGUGCCUCGCCAGAAGCGCCAGGAGCAGCUACUGCCGCCUCAGUCGCCUCAGUCGCUUCAGGCUUGGUCGCCUCAGGCUCAGGCACCACCGGGAUCUUCAGUCCUCACCCCCAGCCCCGCCCCGGCCGCCCUCCCGUGGGCCGGCCCGCGGGCACGCCCUCUGCCGCGGGACAGGGCUGCCUACAGAGGGAAGCUCCUCACAUGGUUCCAUGUCACGGGGCCCCACGACCCAUCAGCCCUCCCGCGAGUCGCCAGAACCAGCUCUGA